rnacentral:rRNA from 1 species
GACGUACGCUGGCGGCGUGCCUAAUACAUGCAAGUCGAACGCAUUUUCUUUCACCGUAGCUUGCUACACCGAAAGAAAAUGAGUGGCGAACGGGUGAGUAACACGUGGGUAACCUGCCCAUCAGCGGGGGAUAACACUUGGAAACAGGUGCUAAUACCGCAUAAUUCCAUUUACCGCAUGGUAGAUGGAUGAAAGGCGCUUUUGCGUCACUGAUGGAUGGACCCGCGGUGCAUUAGCUAGUUGGUGGGGUAACGGCCUACCAAGGCUGCGAUGCAUAGCCGACCUGAGAGGGUGAUCGGCCACACUGGGACUGAGACACGGCCCAGACUCCUACGGGAGGCAGCAGUAGGGAAUCUUCGGCAAUGGACGCAAGUCUGACCGAGCAACGCCGCGUGAGUGAAGAAGGUUUUCGGAUCGUAAAACUCUGUUGUUAGAGAAGAACAAGGAUGAGAGUGGAAAGUUCAUCCCUUGACGGUAUCUAACCAGAAAGCCACGGCUAACUACGUG